GUUUGCGCCAUCUGCAGCUGUUGCUCCUGCCUGGCGCGGUGGUGCGGGCUCGGCUGCCCUUCCCGGCUGCGCCCCGGCUCAGCCCUCGCUUCUCGGGUCGGCGAGCCGGGGCUCCUGCGCGCGCUUCGUUCUUAUACGAACGUCGGGCUCACUCAUUUGUUUAUGUCCUAGAAAAGUUGUGUGGACAACUGCUUUAAUUUUCAUUGUUAGCACUCUAAAGUUUAGGAAGUGACUAGGAACCACCUCAAAAGCUGCAGUUUUUUGUUCUUGUUUCUUAUAGGCUGAAGGGGAUGCUAAGGGAGAUAAAGCCAAGGUGAAAGACGAACCACAGAGAAGAUCCGCGAGGUUGUCUGCUAAACCUGCUCCUCCAAAGCCAGAGCCCAAGCCUAAAAAGGCCCCUGCAAAGAAGGGAGAGAAGGUACCCAAAGGGAAAAAGGGAAAAGCUGAUGCUGGCAAGGAGGGGAAUAACCCUGCAGAAAAUGGAGAUGCCAAAACAGACCAGGCACAGAAAGCUGAAGGUGCUGGAGAUGCCAAGUGAAGUGUGUGCAUUUUUGAUAACUGUGUACUUCUGGUGACUGUACAGUUUGAAAUACUAUUUUUUAUCAAGUUUUAUAAAAAUGCAGAAUUUUGUUUUACUUUUUUUUUUUUUUUAAAGCUAUGUUGUUAGCACACAGAACACUUCAUUGUUGUUUUUGGGGGAAGGGGGGCAUAUGUCACUAAUAGAAUGUCUCCAAAGCUGGAUUGAUGUGGAGAAAACACCUUUCCCUUCUAGUUUUGAGAGACUUCCUCUUGGCUCCCAGGAGGAGGGAUUCCCUGACUUUGACACACAUGGCCACCUUGGCACAAAAGCCUUGUGGUAUGGAAAAACAAAUUUGUUUUUAUGUCCUCUUCUCCCUUUCCAUCUUUCAGCAUAGACUUAACUCCCUUAAGCCCAGACAUCUGUUGGGACCUGACCC
rnacentral:sRNA from 1 species